AUUGAACGCUGGCGGCAGGCCUAACACAUGCAAGUCGAACGGUAACAGGAAGCAGCUUGCUGCUUCGCUGACGAGUGGCGGACGGGUGAGUAAUGUCUGGGAAGCUGCCUGAUGGAGGGGGAUAACUACUGGAAACGGUAGCUAAUACCGCAUAAUGUCGCAAGACCAAAGAGGGGGACCUUCGGGCCUCUUGCCAUCGGAUGUGCCCAGAUGGGAUUAGCUUGUUGGUGGGGUAACGGCUCACCAAGGCGACGAUCCCUAGCUGGUCUGAGAGGAUGACCAGCCACACUGGGACUGAGACACGGUCCAGACUCCUACGGGAGGCAGCAGUGUGGAAUAUUGCACAAUGGGCGCGAGCCUGAUGCAGCCAUGCCGCGUGUAUGAAGAAGGCCUUCGGGUUGUAAAGUACUUUCAGCGGGGAGGAAGGGAGUAAAGUUAAUACCUUUGCUCAUUGACGUUACCCGCAGAAGAAGCACCGGCUAACUCCGUG
rnacentral:rRNA from 1 species